UAUCAAAAACAAAGACAAAAGCAUCCAGGUUCCAUCAUUCUCUCUCUGUCUCUCUCUCUCUCUCUCUCAAAUCCUUAACUUCUUUUUCUCUCGCAAAUUGCCUCUGAGACCUGAGAAAUUCAUUCACCUCAUUCCUCUUCUCACCGUCCUUUGCUUCCUCAUCCUCUACCUUUCCUCUCACGAUCCAUCUCAAGAAGAUUCGAUAGAGAUUGAUGAUAUCGGACGAUUUUUGAAUAUCAAAAAAGGAGAUGUUUUAGCUAUUCGGAGCCUCAGAAACUUGUAGGAGAUCGGAAAACAUGCUCCGUUUGCUGCCCCAUCUCUCCUCGAUUCUCGGAUUUCCCGGCGACUCUCCGGUAGCGAUUUCGAUCAAGUACCACAUAUAAAUGGUGAUGAACAUAUAUGGCUUCAACACUGCAAGUAAAUGAUAAUUAAGCAAUGACGAGAUCAAUGAAAGAUUGAUGUAGAGUUUGUUUUGUAACAAGUGUCCCGGUAGGACUUGCACGAAGUUAGGCUGAAGGAAUGCUGUGGGCUUAACUAGAUUUUAGUGGUUGAUGCAUAUCUUCUUGGCUUUUUGAAUGGGAUAAUGGGAAGGAAGGGAGUGGGAUAAGGAAUUGAUAGUUUAACACCUGGAUUUUAUUUCAUCACUAGCAUUACUUCUUUGGUUUCGUCAAUUGUAUCUUGGAAGCUUCAGGCAUUUUAUGGCUUUCAGGAUCCUGAAGGCCUUUUUCCAUGUAUUCUUGGUCAUGAAGCUGUUGGGUACGUACUUUGUGUAUUUCUUGUCAGUUUAUUAAAAAUUGUGGUGUCUUCGAUGCUGGAAGAUGAGAGUAUGGUUGUGAAGAAUUAUUGAAAGCUUCUUCAUUAAUCUCAAUAUGUGAUUACAUGUAUGUAUUUAUACAAUACAUCUAACAAACUGAUAAUAUCUGUAACUAACUAACUAAUCUAGCAAACUCAUCUAUCUUCUAGCUAACUAUGACAUCAGUUGUAGCUUUAGUUUUGGCUUUAGUUGGUUAGCUGUUAAUGGCAGCUCCUGUUGUGGCUUGAGCUGCUGA